rnacentral:rRNA from 1 species
GAUGAACGCUGGCGGCGUGCCUAAUACAUGCAAGUCGAGCGAACAGACGAGGAGCUUGCUCCUCUGACGUUAGCGGCGGACGGGUGAGUAACACGUGGAUAACCUACCUAUAAGACUGGGAUAACUUCGGGAAACCGGAGCUAAUACCGGAUAACAUGUUGAACCGCAUGGUUUAACAGUGAAAGACGGUCUUGCUGUCACUUAUAGAUGGAUCCGCGCCGCAUUAGCUAGUUGGUAAGGUAACGGCUUACCAAGGCAACGAUGCGUAGCCGACCUGAGAGGGUGAUCGGCCACACUGGAACUGAGACACGGUCCAGACUCCUACGGGAGGCAGCAGUAGGGAAUCUUCCGCAAUGGGCGAAAGCCUGACGGAGCAACGCCGCGUGAGUGAAGAAGGUCUUCGGAUCGUAAAACUCUGUUAUUAGGGAAGAACAAAUGUGUAAGUAACUAUGCACGUCCUGACGGUACCUAAUCAGAAAGCCACGGCUAACUACGUG